rnacentral:rRNA from 1 species
CCUAGUAACUGCGAGUGAAGCGGGAAGAGCUCAAAUUUAAAAUCUGGCGGCUUUUUGGUCGUCCGAGUUGUAACCUGGAGAGGCAUUUUCCGCGUUGGACCGUGUACAAGUCUCCUGGAAUGGAGCGUCAUAGAGGGUGAGAAUCCCGUCCAUGACACGGACCGCCAAUGCUUUGUGAUAUGCCUUCGAAGAGUCGCGUUGUUUGGGAAUGCAGCGCAAAAUGGGUGGUAAAUUCCAUCUAAAGCUAAAUAUUGGCGAGAGACCGAUAGCGAACAAGUACCGUGAGGGAAAGAUGAAAAGCACUUUGGAAAGAGAGUUAAACAGUACGUGAAAUUGUUGAAAGGGAAACGCUUGAAGUCAGUCGCGUUCCGUGGAACUCAGCCUUACUUCGGUUUGGUGUACUUUCCAUGUGAACGGGUCAACGUCAAUUUUGGCCGGUGGAUAAAGGCAAAGGGAAUGUAGCGUUGCUUCGGUGACGUGUUAUAGCCCCUUGUUGUAUACACCGGCUGGGAUUGAGGACCGCAGCACGCCCUUGUGGCCGGGGGUUCGCCCCACGUACCGUGCUUAGGAUGUUGGCAUAAUGGCUUUAAGCGACCCGUCUUGAAACACGGACCAAGGAGUCUAACAUGCUUGCGAGUGUUCGGGUGGAAAACCCUUGCGCGUAAUGAAAGUGAAAGUUAGGAACCUUCUCGCAAGAGGGGGUGCACUGACGCCCGGCCCUGACGUUCUCUGACGGUGCUGCGGUAGAGCAAGUAUGUUGGGACCCGAAAGAUGGUGAACUAUGCCUGAAUAGGGCGAAGCCAGAGGAAACUCUGGUGGAGGCUCGUAGCGAUUCUGACGUGCAAAUCGAUCGUCAAAUUUGGGUAUAGGGGCG